GGAUGAUAAAAGGGCAAUGAUAGUCCUCUGGCUACUUUCUGCUGAUUGGGGACUUGAGAAGAGGAGUCUAGAAUGCUGGUCUAAAAUAGGGCCUUAAGCCAGCAGCAACCAUCCACAGAAGGCACUGUCAACAGGAAAUUUGGAGACAGCAUUAUUCUUCUGAAAAUUGGUGCUCAUCUGUAAACCAAUUUUUAUUAAAAUAGUUACUUGGACAGGAUCAGAUGUACCAUUAGAAAGUUGAACUUCUUGCCCUGAACUACAAUGGACACUAUUGCAGCCUUUGUCUUUACUUCUGGCUGUACUGCUUAAGGAACCAAUGGAUGACUCCAACUCUUGAUGAUAGCCUCCUAAAGCAUCUUGCAGAUACAUUUUGAUUGCAUGAUUUGGGGCUUAAUUUUUCACAGGCAACAACAUUCUUUGGGAAAAAAAAAGAAAGAAAAUUAAGAUCCAGUUUCACAUUUUCCCCUACAG